rnacentral:rRNA from 1 species
GUCGUCAGUUCGUACUGUGAAGCAUCCUGUUAAGUCAGGCAACGAGCGAGACCCGUGCCCACUGUUACCAGCAUGUCCUCCGGGACGAUGGGUACUCUGUGGGGACCGCCGAUGUUAAAUCGGAGGAAGGUGCGGGCUACGGUAGGUCAGUAUGCCCCGAAUUUCCCGGGCUACACGCGGGCUACAAUGAAUGGGACAAUGGGUCCCUACCCCGAGAGGGGUUGGUAAUCUCCCAAACCCAUCCGUAGUUCGGAUCGAGGGCUGUAACUCGCCCUCGUGAAGCUGGAAUCCGUAGUAAUCGCGUUUCAAUAUAGCGCGGUGAAUACGUCCCUGCUCCUUGCACACACCGCCCGUCAAACCACCCGAGUGAGGUAUGGGUGAGGGCACGAACUUCGUGUCGUGUUCGAACCUGUGCUUUGCAAGGGGGGUUAAGUCGUAACAAGGUAGCCGUAGGGGAAUCUGCGGCUG